rnacentral:rRNA from 1 species
UACGUAGGGGGCUAGCGUUGUCCGGAAUCAUUGGGCGUAAAGAGCGCGUAGGCGGCCCGGUAAGUCUGCUGUAAAAGUCAAAGGCUUAACCUUUGAAAGUCAAGUGGAUACUGCCGGGCUAGAGUCCGGAAGAGGCGAGUGGAACUCCUGGUGUAGCGGUGGAAUGCGCAGAUAUCAGGAAGAACACCAACGGCGAAGGCAGCUCGCUAGGACGGAAACUGACGCUGAGGCGCGAAAGCGUGGGGAGCAAACAGG